rnacentral:rRNA from 2 species
CUGCCAGUGAUAAACUGGAGGAAGGUGGGGAUGACGUCAAGUCAUCAUGGCCCUUACGACCAGGGCUACACACGUGCUACAAUGGCGCAUACAAAGAGAAGCGACCUCGCGAGAGCAAGCGGACCUCAUAAAGUGCGUCGUAGUCCGGAUUGGAGUCUGCAACUCGACUCCAUGAAGUCGGAAUCGCUAGUAAUCGUGGAUCAGAAUGCCACGGUGAAUACGUUCCCGGGCCUUGUACACACCGCCCGUCACACCAUGGGAGUGGGUUGCAAAAGAAGUAGGUAGCUUAACCUUCGGGAGGGCGCUUACCACUUUGUGAUUCAUGACUGGGGUGAAGUCGUAACAAGGUAACCGUAGGGGAACC